AAUUUUCGCAGUUCUUUCACGGCUGCUGCUCCCCAUCUUCUCUCUCCACUCCUUGUCCCGCUCACUACUCGGGAAACCAUGUGUCCCAUCCUAGCACCUCUCCUCCCAGCCUUACCGACUCCCCACUCCCUACCUGCAUCCUUCACCACCUCUCCCCAGCCAGUCGUACACAGAAGCACCAGAGUCACUCGGCGUCUCUCCUAAGAAAAUCUCCGGAGAGACUGUAAAUACCCGCCCCGAAAGUCUGAGGAGAUCAUGUUUCCAGCAUGUCCAUAUUUGACUGUUGUAACAGAUGAGUCAUUUCCCACCUGUCUGAGCUGAAGUACUAGAACAUAAGGAAUCAUCUGGAUUCACAGUGAAGCAGAGCUCUCAUAGGGGGUGUGUCCCUGGCUUUGGAAUGACAUUCAUGUCAACCACCUCAAAAACAAGUCUGACCCAAUUAGAGACAGCCAUUCAGCAGACUGCUCUGAAGAUACUACAUUGAUGUUUGAACUGAUUGGAAAGAAUUAGCAAUCACUUUAAAAUCAGAGAAAAAGGUACAAAUGAGUUUAAAAGGGAGGAUAUCAUGGUUUGAUCAGUUAUGAAAGUUAAAGAAAUCAACACAUGAGGGGAUGGUAGAAGUUCAUAUACUGAAAUAUGAAAAGCUGUGCUGUGAGGAGCAAACACGGAGUACAUGAGUUUGCUGCUGCAACUUUCUGUGAGAGGACGUCAGUAAGCUUGAAUUUUAAAGAGGGCUGUGAAGAACAACCACCUUCUUGUUCCAGGGUUCCUUAAGGAAAUGUUCAAAAGUAUCGGCACAAAUACGACGGUUGAAGCUUUCUUCGGAAGUUCAAGCAGAAACGAGGAAGAUUAGCCCUGAGCUAACUGCUGCCAAUGCUCCUCUUUUUGCUGCGGAAGACUGGCCCUGAGCUAACAUCCGUGCCCAUCUUCCUCUACUGUAUAUGUGGGAUGCCUACCACAGCAUGGCUUGAUAAGCGGUGCCAUGUCCACACCCGGGAUCCGAACCAGCGAACCCCAGGCCACUGAAGUGGAACAUGCGCACUUAACCGUUACGUCAGGGGGCCAGCCCAUAUUUCUCUUAUUUUUUUAACAUAGGAUUUCUUAUUGUUAACAGUUCAUUG
rnacentral:lncRNA from 1 species